rnacentral:rRNA from 1 species
GCCGAUAAGUAUUUGUGGGGAACGGCCCAACAGGCCGUAAUCGGUACGGUUUGUGGAGCAAGAGCCCGGAGAUGAAAUUGAGGCACGAUUCCCGGCCCUACGGGGCGCAGCCGGCGCGAAAACUUUACAUGCCAGCAAACUGUGAUAGGGGAACCCCGAGUGCCCGUACACGCGGGCUGUCCCGGUGUUUAAAACACAUCGAAAGAAAGGUGCCGGGCAGAACCGGUGCCAGCCGCCGCGGUAAUACCGGCGGCUCGAGUGGUGACCACUUUUAUUGGGCUUAAAGCGUUCGUAGCUUGAUUUUUAAGUCUCNUGCGAAAUCUCACGGCUUAACUGUGAGGCGUCUAAGAGAUACUGGGAAUCUAGGGACCGGGAGAGGUAAGAGGUACUUCAGGGGUAGAAGUGAAAUUCUGUAAUCCUUGAGGGACCACCGAUGGCGAAGGCAUCUUACCAGAACGGCUUCGACAGUGAGGAACGAAAGCUGGGGGAGCGAACGGGAUUAGAUACCCCGGUAGUCCCAGCCGUAAACUAUGCGCGUUAGGUGUGCCUGUAACUACGAGUUACCGGGGUGCCGAAGUGAAAACGUGAAACGUGCCGCCUGGGAAGUACGGUCGCAAGGCUGAAACUUAAAGGAAUUGGCGGGGGAGCACCACAACGGGUGGAGCUUGCGGUUUAAUUGGACUCAACGCCGGGCAGCUCACCGGAUAGGACAGCGGAAUGAUAGCCGGGCUGAAGACCUUGCUUGACCAGCUGAGAGGAGGUGCAUGGCCGUCGUCAGUUCGUACUGUGAAGCAUCCUGUUUAGUCAGGCAACGAGCGAGACCCAAAUCAUUG